rnacentral:rRNA from 1 species
AAACCAACAGGGAUUGCCUCAGUAACGGCGAGUGAAGCGGCAAAAGCUCAAAUUUGAAACCGUUCGCGGGUUGUAAUUUGUAGAGUGUCUUGUGACAUUGGCAUAAGUACCUUGGAACAGGUCGUCAUAGAGGGUGAGAAUCCCGUUGCCUACGUCGUUAUACUUGAUACUCCAAGAGUCGAGUUGUUUGGGAAUGCAGCUCUAAUUGGGUGGUAAAAUCCAUCUAAAGCUAAAUAUUGGCGAGAGACCGAUAGCGAACAAGUACAGUGAUGGAAAGAUGAAAAGAACUUUGAAAAGAGAGUGAAAAAGUACGUGAAAUUGUUGAAAGGGAAGGGUAUGCUGGGAGUCUUUGAGUUGUUGUUCAGCGGUUCUUCGGGGCCGUGUAUUCAGCCUCUCUUUGGAGCCACGGCGGUUUUUGUGCGGAUAAAGCUGUUUCCUUCGGGUUUCAUCAAUACGCACAUUUGCCGUCCUGUCUCCGUAAUCCCAACAUACCACCCGUCUUG